GAGCAUAAUAUGGAUGCUUUAAAGGUCCCAUGACGUGGUGCUCGUUGGAUGCUUUCCUAUAGACCUUAGUGGUCCACUAAAACCAUAUCUGAAGUCUCUUUUAUAUAGACCUUAGUGGUCCUCUAAUACCAUAUCUGGAGUC